rnacentral:lncRNA from 1 species
GCAGUAAACACUCAUGCUUUUUAUCAAGCUUACUAUUUAUUUAUUAUGUGAUUGAUGAUAUUGCAUUAAGUAUUGUAUAGAUGAGCCAGUAGGUGUUUAUUAUAGUGGAAAAUUUAUUUAGCUUGAAUAAGCUUUUUGCCUUUAGAGUUGUGGUCACAUUGAUAAAGAAUGUGAUACAUUUUCCCCCCCAUAUUUAAGGAUGAUGUCUUUUGGUGCUGAGAACUUUAUGUCUAUGUAUUUAUGUAUUUCUCAUUUACUUUACGCAAGCUUAUGUUUUUAUUUCUUAAUUAUCUUGGUAUGUUUUGAAACUUUAAAAACCCACUUCUUCCCUCCUCAGUUUAAUUACUUUCUUUCUUAACUGCUAGGAUCUUAAUGUUCGUAACUUGAAGCCAAAUUCUGUCAUCAGUGUCAUUAGUAUAAAUGUAUUUAUGAGCAGAUUUAAAAAAUAAAACACAUAAGCCUUUCUUUUC